GCAAGUCUAACCAAUCCACAGGUGCAGAGUGGGAAAUAAAUGCUUAUUGUUGAAUAACAUUGAGAUUUUGUGCUUGUUUGCUAUGCAGUGUUAUUGUGGCAGAGGCCCGCUAAUGCAGCAUGUAUUUACCAGUAUUGUUUUAAACUCUUUUUACACAUUAGGUCAUUUAAUCCUCAGAACAACCCUAUGUGGUAAGUACUAGUAUCAUCUCUACAAUGCAGAAAGCUGAGACACAGAAGGUAAUGAACUUGUCUGACGCUCCAUAACAGUAAGUGGUGGAGCAUUGGAAGGCAAGCUGCAGGCCCAGGGCCGGGGUGCUUGUGUGCUGGCCCCCAUCACACACUGCUCAUGCUUCCAUUCCCUCUCAAAAUUCUUACUCACCCGGAGUUGACUUCCCCCAAGUUAACAAGUGCUAAGUUUACCUUCUUUCUCUAAUCCUUUACAUAGUGAUCUACUUAUUUGUUCAUAUACCUUCUAGAAAAUUUGAAGAACAGUGGAAUCAUAUGAAAUGUCAUUUUAUAGGUUAAAACAGUCAAAUAUCACCAGCCUCAUUUGAUUCAAUCUACCCUGCCACACAUUUUUUAAGUAAUAUCUAAAUUUUUUCUUUCUAGAUUAAAUUGUUAUAAAGAUGGUAACUUCAAGAAUAUUGAAAAUUCUGAAUUUUCAAAUAAAAAUCCAUCAUACUGUUAAUGUAUCCAAUGGAACCUAAUACCACAGUUUUUUAAAUUGAGGUACAAUUCACAUAACAUAAAAUUCACCAUUUUAAAGUGUAUGGUUCAGUGGCUUUUAGUACAUUUACAACAUUGUGGAACCAUCACCUCUAUCUAGCUCCAAAACAGUUUCAUCAUCAUCCCAAAAGAAACCCCAUAUAUAUUAAACAGUCAUUCUCCAUUCCCUUCAUCUCCCAUCCCUUGGCAACUACUAAUCUGCUUUCUGUCUCUGUGGAUUUGCCUAUUCUAGACAUUUCAUAUAAAUGGAAUCAUAUAACAUGUGGGUUUUUGUGACUGGUUUCUUUCACUUAGCAUAAUGUUUUUGAGGUUCAUUCAUGCUAUAGUACCUAUCGAUACUUCAUUUCCUUUAAUGGCUGAAUAACAUUCAUGGUAUAGUUAUAGCAAAUUUUGUUUAUCCAUUCAUCAGUUGAUGGGUUGUUUCUGCUUUUAUUUAUUAUUAAUAAUGCUGCUAUGAAUGUUCAUGUACAAAUUUUUAUGUGAACAUAUGUUUUCAGUUCUCUUGGGUGUAUACCCAGGAGUGGAAUUGCUAGGACAUAUGCUGAGAUUUGGCUGCUUUUCUUGAUUAAGUGUUCCCCUGGUUGUUGUAAGCUUUUGAUUACAUUCUAGGUUCUGAAAAAGUUGGUUCUGACAGUUGUGCCACUUUAUGCAUGGCUUUUGUGGAGGGACAGACUUUUGGAAUUCAUACUCUGCCAUUUUUGCUGAUACCUCACCUACCAGAGUAACCUGAUGCCUGUCUUCAUCCAUUUACAAAAAUACAUUUGUGGAAAAAAACUCAGAAAAGUCAGAAAUUUUACAUUGUUUCUUUUUUUGUCUUCAGCUUACAUAUUCAUUCUUUAUUCUCUGUAGAAUUUUAUCCUAAUAAAAUAUAUCUUUAUGCUUAAAAGUUUUUUAUUAAUUACUGUAUAAUCUCUCUCUGGAUAUAUAUAAAUUAAAUUUUAAAAUUCUUUGACUAUAUGCCCUUGCUAUUGAAAAAUUUCCCCUGGAUUAAAUUGGAAUUAUAUUAUUAUAACUCAUCAUUAAUUUAAAUAUAUUAAACAUAUGAUCAUUCUUAUCAUAUUUUUUGGAAACAUCUGAAAUGAAUGGAGCACUCCCUUCCUUUCAGUUUAUGUACCUUUGGAUGAAUCACUUAUUGCUAAAAUGAGGCAGGGCUCAGAGUGUGGAAAUCUCAUUUACAUAAAUAAGUUAACAAAAUAGAAAAAGUCUAAUUAUAACGAUGUCACUCAUUUCUGUAAACAUCAGCUGUAUUGGAUCAGCCAAAAACACAUUAUAAUAAAUAAUAAUUUUAUUUUAAUUUUCUAUGUGUUGGAUAUCUUCUAUUUACCAUUCUAGAUCUAUACCAUCCUCUUCUACCUUACUUCUUGCCUGGAGGCUGACCUGUAUGGACUAUAUCAGCAUGCUUGCCUUCUUGCGUCCAGCUGGAUUUUACCAAUGAGUACCUCUUGGCAGGAGAUUAGAGGAAGAGAAGAGAUGGCUAUUUAUUCUCCCAGCUCCUUCCCUGAAAAAUUACAUCCCCUUUCAAGAGGGAAAAACAGCUGCUAUGUGAGGAAGUUCACUUAUUGUCCUUGAGAGAGUGGCCACAUGGAGAGAAAAAACCUCUGAUGCAUGAGACACUAUGGAGGGAUGUAGAAAGAAGCCCAGCCAGCCCCUGAACUACAGGAGUUUUCUUGCACAAGCUCUCCUCUCUUAUCUGCUGCCAUGUGAGAUGUGCCUUUCACCUUCUACCAGGAUUGUGAGGCCACCCCAGCCACGUGGAACUGGCAGUGCAGGAGGGAAAUGUGUGGUUGGAGCCCCCACACAGAGUUCCUACUGGGGCAACACCUAGUUGGGCUGUGAGAAGAAAGCCACCAUCCUCCAGACCCCAGAAUGAUAGAUCCAUCGAUCACUUGUACCGUGCACCUGGAAAAGCCACAGACACUCAUGCCUGCCAUGACAGCAGCCAGGAGAGGGGUUAUACCCUGCAAAGCCACAGAGGCUGAGCUGCCCAAGAGCAUGGGAAACUACUUCUUUCAUCAGUGUGACCUGGAUGUGAGAUUUGGAGUCAAAGAAGAUCAUUUUGGAGCUUUAAGAUUUGACUGACCCACUGGAUUUUGGACAUGCAUGGGGCCUAUAGCCCCUUUGUUUUGACCAAUUUCUCUCAUUUGGAAUGGCAGUAUUUACCUAAUGCCUAUACCCCCAUUGUAUCUAGGAAGUAACUAACUUGCUUUUGAUUUUACAGGCUCAUAGGUGGAAGGGACUUCUUUUAUCUUAGAUGAAACUUUGGACUAUGGACUUUUGAGUUAAUGCUAAAAUGAGUUAAGACUUUGGGGGACUGUUGGGAAGGCAUGAUUGGUUUUGAAAUGUGAGGACAUGAGAUUUGGGAGGGGCCAGGGGCGGAAUGUUAUGGUUUGGCUGUGUCCCUACCAAAAUCUCAUCUUGAAUUGUAACUCCCAUAAUUCCCAUGUGUCGUGGGAGGAACCUGGUGGGAGGUAAUUGAGUUAUGAGGGCGGGCCUUUCUUGUGCUGUUCUUGUGAUAGUGAAUAAGUCUCAUGAGAUCUGAUGGUUUUAAAAAUGGGAGUUUCCCUGCACAAGCUCUCUUCUCUUGUCUGCCACCAUGUGAGUCGUGCCUUUCACCUUCCACCAUGAUUGUGAGGCCUCCCCAGCCACAUGGAACUGUAAGUCCAUUAAACCUCUUUUUUUGGUUAC
rnacentral:lncRNA from 1 species